GAGAGAGAGAGAGAGAGACCAGAGUGACAAAAACACCCACUCUAACUAAAAAACCGACCCCCACACCCGUACAAUAUCAUAUCUCUCUGCGUCGUCGUUUCCGCAGUGUCUCAGUCUCUCAGCUAAGUUGUCCCAACCAGACUCAAAGAAGCAGUAGAAGAAGAUGAUCUACAGGAAAUGGAGUCUACUUACUGGCCCAGCAGCAAUUCUUGGUGGCAUUGUUGGUGCUGUGGUCAUUGCCAACUACAUCUUUGUUGAGAAUAAUCCGUUUCUUAAACCAGAACAGAAGAAGCCCGAUGGAGCAGAAGCAAACAAAUAAAAGAAAGUUGAUGCACAGUUGUCAUUCGAUGUGAUUUAAGGAUCUAUCAUAAAGGCUGUAAGGGUCUGUUCUGUUGAGAAUGUUUGUUAAGCAAACAUAACAUUUGGUUGUUGUUUGAGAUUCUGAAUGAAAAUUUGAGCAAUGGUUGAUUAAGUGGUGAUAUUUCCCCACUCUUAUUUUAUUCAAUACAAAAGGUCUUCAACAUUGACUCUCUUGAUUAUGUCCAAGUAACUUUAGUAAACAACUUGCCAGCCUUAUGUUGAAGUAAUUUUACCAACUGGGUUUUGGUUUCCA